UGGGGAAUAUUGGACAAUGGGCGCAAGCCUGAUCCAGCCAUGCCGCGUGAGUGAUGAAGGCUCUAGGGUUGUAAAGCUCUUUCACCGGUGAAGAUAAUGACGGUAACCGGAGAAGAAGCCCCGGCUAACUUCGUGCCAGCAGCCGCGGUAAUACGAAGGGGGCUAGCGUUGUUCGGAUUUACUGGGCGUAAAGCGCACGUAGGCGGACUAUUAAGUCAGGGGUGAAAUCCCGGGGCUCAACCCCGGAACUGCCUUUGAUACUGGUAGUCUUGAGUUCGAGAGAGGUGGGUGGAAUUCCGAGUGUAGGGGUGAAAUUCGUAGAUAUUCGGAGGAACACCAGUGGCGAAGGCGGCUCACUGGCUCGAUACUGACGCUGAGGUGCGAAAGCGUGGGGAGCAAACAGG
rnacentral:rRNA from 1 species